UACCAAGUAGAGGAAACUUAAGCCAUUGAU
rnacentral:piRNA from 1 species